UAAUACGCCGAAAGGGGUACGUAAUACCGGAUAUUCUUGCUUUUCAUAAGUUAUGUCAAGCAAAGGUGGCCUCUGCAUAUGCUACUGCAUGAAGAGGGGUCUGCGUACCAUUAGCUAGUAGGUGGGGUAAUGGCCUACCUAGGCGACGAUGGUUAGCGGGUCUGAGAGGAUGAUCCGCCACACUGGCACUGGAACACGGGCCAGACUCCUACGGAGGCAGCAGUGAGGAAUAUUGCGCAAUGGGGGAAACCCUGACGCAGCGACGCCGCGUGAGUGAAGGAAGGCCUUCGGGUCGUAAAGCUCUGUCAAGAGGAAAGAAGUGUACAAUGGCUAAUACCUGUUGUAUUUGACGGUACCUCUAAAGGAAGCACCGGCUAACUCCGUGCCAGCAGCGGC
rnacentral:rRNA from 1 species